rnacentral:rRNA from 1 species
GACGAACGCUGGCGGCGGGCUUAACACAUGCAAGUCGAACGGGCUGGGCGCUUCGGUGCUCGAUGCUAGUGGCACACGGGUGAAUAACACGUGGAAAUAUGCCCUUUAGUACGGAAUAACCAAGGGAACCUGUGGCAAAUACCGUAAACGCCCUUCGGGGGAAAGAUUUAUCGCUAAAGGAUUAGCCCGCGUCUGAUGAUGUAGUUGGUGUGGUCAUGGCUCACGAGGACGACGAUCCGGAGCCGGUCUGAGGGGAUGAGCAGUCACACUGGGACUGAGACACGGCUCCGACUCGUACGGGAGGCAGCAGUGGGUAAUAUUGGAGAAUGGGGGCAACGCUGAUCCGGCGAGGGCGGGAGAGCGAAGAAGGGGUUCGGGUUCGAAAGCUCUAGCGACGGGGACGAUUAUGACGGUACCUGUAGAAGAAGCACCGGCAAACUUCGUG